UUCGGUGGCUGACUUCUUUGCUUUUUUCUUUUCUGUUGCUUUGUCUGGCAGUUCUCCUUCUACCAUGACUGGCCCGAAGCCGGCCCCCUUAACAGACAUAUCUGAAAAGAACAUGGCGUCUAUCAGAGCUGGUUCUCUGAUUUUCUUCCUUUCUUGGGGCUAUUCCAUCUCGUCCAAUAUCGUAGCGUAGUCUAAGACGCUCAGCCUAGAAAUCGACUCUGAGACCCGGCCCUGUCCCAAAAGAAAGUGCUUUUCUCUUCUCUUAAUAAUUGGAUAAAUAUAAUGGGAUAAAUCAUCAACGGCUUUAACCUUUUUUCAAAGAGAUUCCCCCAUGCCUUCUAGGAAGAUGAACUUUGAUGACUAGGCUAAGCCGCUUCCCUUUUUCCUUCCGAAAAAUCAAGCUACUGGUAUCCCAAACCAAAUCCCGCUCUUUCAAAGAAGAUCGUAUCGUAUAUCAGAGACCUCCCUUUGCUCUUUUCUUCGAUCUGAGCUGAGCCCUCUGAAUUGCGGGGAACCCUCUUCUGACUAUGAAGAUGCCUCGGUUUAGUCUUUCCUGCGCCCUUUUAUUGUCUUUUUGCAAUUGGUUGAAGAAGGUCGUUCUGCCCGGGCAAUGGAAUCAGGUUUGUAACCCAAAGUCAGUCAAGUAGUGAAUUCUUCGGACAUGAAAGAGGAGAGAGCAGACUUCCUUUUUGAUCGAAGUCCAAGAACAGCUUUGACGGACAGCUUUCUAAGCGCAGAAAAGAAAGCUUUGAGUUUGAGUGUGGUUCUUCUCUCAACGGAAAAAGGGCUGGAAGAAGAAUUUCCCUCAUAUCGAGUUGCCUAUCGCUCAGUGACCGAGUAGAGCGAAGAGUGCUUGACCGAUACCGACCGAAUCACUCAAUUUCGUCAAUGAUGAUGGCCAAGAUAGGAACUGAGAUUCAUCCAUAGUAGGCCCUUCGCCCCGUCUUUGUGAUUGAGGGCCUGGGCUUCACCUCUCUUCCUUUCCUUCUCCAAUAGGUCUAUUACUGCCUUCCGUUCGUUCUUUCUCUCAUGUCAAUUGCAAGGCUUUUCACUACAUACAAAAAUAUAAGGAUGGAGGGAAAAGUUUCCUUUUAGUUUAGUAUGGUUUUAGGCAUGUAAUUUCAUAAAAUCAUAUGGGAAUGGAAUCGAUGAUAGAAGCUUCUUGUAUUUCUUUCUAGGUGGAUUUGAAGGCUAAGGCCUACCUACUCCUUAAUGUUUUCCAAUCUUCGUCUUUCUUGUUCUACUGGGACCAAAUAGAAGGUCGUCCCACAGACAUAGCCAUGUGGUACUCUCUUUUCUAGCCCCUCGCGGUUCUUUUCGUUUUGAGCUUAAGGUCGACCUUCCCCUCUUUUGGUCUUUGUCCUUCUUUUUGAUCAUGAUAAACAAAUAAAAAUCUUUGAUCUCACUUUCUGUACUGAGAUAUACCAUAAGACCGAUAAGUUGAUUCGAGAUCUCACUAUCAAUAUCUUGACCUAAAAAAAGUAAUCUUUCUCGAUAAAGUCGGUUGUAUACGUCAAUCCAAUUUGAACUAUCCUCCCCGGGAUUUCGAAAAGGGACUUUUGGAACACCAAUAGGCAUUAAAUGAAAUAAAAAAAAA